UUACCCACCAGUUCUAUUAAAUAGUUAUAACAAAAUUGACCCGUCAAAAGUCUUUGCUUCAUUCUCGUUACACGACAAUGAGCAAAGAGGGUCUUUGCUUCAUUCUCGUUACACGACAAUGAGCAAAGAGGAGCAGCUGUAACAGGUCAAUUUUGACCUAGGCCUAAAGACCCAAAACAAAUGAAAAUAACCCAAAAAUUACAGCCCAAAGCCCAGUAAAUUAAAAUUUGUUUCAGCAAAAAAACCUAGCCCUAGCCGCAUGCACACCUCUGCCAGGUGCGCCGCUCCAGCUCCUCACACGCCGCCGCCGCCCAAGACUCGCCUACCACCGGUCGUCCACGCGUCUGACACCUGCGAAAAUUAAAUAUAAUGGCA
rnacentral:lncRNA from 1 species